rnacentral:rRNA from 1 species
GAACUUGCCUCUUGGUCUGGGACAACUGUUGGAAACGACAGCUAAUACCGGAUAUUAUGAGAUUCUCGCAUGGGAAACUUAUGAAAGCUAUAUGCGCCAAGAGAGAGCCUUGCGUUCCAUUAGCUAGUUGGUGGGGUAACGGCCCACCAAGGCGACGAUGGAUAGCCGGCCUGAGAGGGUGAACGGCCACAAGGGGACUGAGACACGGCCCUUACUCCUACGGGAGGCAGCAGUGGGGAAUAUUGGACAAUGGGCCACAAGCCUGAUCCAGCAAUUCUGUGUGCACGAUGAAGGUCUUCGGAUUGUAAAGUGCUUUCAGUUGGGAAGAAGAAAGUGACGGUACCAACAGAAGAAGCGACGGCUAAAUACGUGCCAGCAGCCGCGGUAAUACGUAUGUCGCAAGCGUUAUCCGGAUUUAUUGGGCGUAAAGCGCGUCUAGGCGGAAAAAUAAGUCUGAUGUUAAAAUGCGGGGCUCAACUCCGUAUUGCGUUGGAAACUGUUUUUCUAGAGUACUGGAGAGGUGGGCGGAACUACAAGUGUAGAGGUGAAAUUCGUAGAUAUUUGUAGGAAUGCCGAUGGAGAAGUCAGCUCACUGGACAGAUACUGACGCUAAAGCGCGAAAGCGUGGGGAGCAA